GGGGAUUUAGCUCAGCGGCAUAAGCGCCUGCCUUGCAAGCAGGCAACGUGAGUUCGAUCCCUA
rfam:Cavia porcellus supercont2_320 genomic scaffold, whole genome shotgun sequence.